AGUGAACGCUGGCGGUAGGCCUAACACAUGCAAGUCGAACGGCAGCACAGUAAGAGCUUGCUCUUACGGGUGGCGAGUGGCGGACGGGUGAGGAAUACAUCGGAAUCUACUUUUUCGUGGGGGAUAACGUAGGGAAACUUACGCUAAUAUCGCAUACGACCUACGGGUGAAAGCAGGGGAUCUUCGGACCUUGCGCGAUUGAAUGAGCCGAUGUCGGAUUAGCUAGUUGGCGGGGUAAAGGCCCACAAAGGCGACGAUCCGUAGCUGGUCUGAGAGGAUGAGCAGCCACACUGGAACGGAGACACGGUCCAGACUACUACGGGAGGCAGCAGUGAGGAAUAUUGGACAAUGAGCGCAAGCCUGAUCCAGCCAUACCGCGUGGGUGAAGAAGGCCUUCGGGUUGUGAAGCCCUUUUGUUGGGAAAGAAAAGCGACAGGUUAAUACCCCGCUGUUCUGACGGUACCUAAAGAAUAAGCACCGGCUAACUUCGUG
rnacentral:rRNA from 1 species